rnacentral:rRNA from 1 species
UACGGGGGGGGGCAAGCGUUGUUCGGAAUUACUGGGCGUAAAGGGCUCGUAGGCGGCCAACUAAGUCGGACGUGAAAUCCCCAGGCUCAACCUGGGAACUGCGUCCGAUACUGGAUGGCUUGAAUUCGGGAGAGGGAUGCAGAAUUCCAGGUGUAGCGGUGAAAUGCGUAGAUAUCUGGAGGAAUACCGGUGGCGAAGGCGGCAUCCUGGACCGACAUUGACGCUGAGGAGCGAAAGCUAGGGGAGCAAACGGGG